UUCCGGUUGAUCCCGCCGGAGGCUACUGCUAUCAGGUUUCGACUAAUCCAUGCGAGGCGAGUGUGCCAGCAAUGGUGUCACGCCGUACUGCUCAGUAACACGUAGUUAACCUGCCCUACGCUGGGGGAUAACCCCGGGAAACUGGGAACAAUACCCCAUAGGCGAUAAUAGCUGGAAGGCUUCUUCGCCCAAAGCUACGGCGGCGUAGGAUGGGACUGCGGCAGAUUAGGUUGUUGUCAGGAUAAGAACCUGACAAGCCGAUAAUCUGUACGGGUCGUGAGAGCGAUAGCCCGGAGAUGGCUUCUGAGACAUGAAGCCAGGCCUUACGGGGCGCAGCAGGAGCGGAACCUUCGCAAUGCCCGAAAGGGUGACGAGGGAAGCCUGAGUGGAUUCGCACUGCGAAUCCUUUUCUUGAGUUUGGAUUGCUCGAGGAAUAAGUGGUGGGCAAGACGGUUGCCAGCCGCCACGGUAAUAACCGCGCCACAAGUGGUAGCCACGAUUAUUGGGCCUAAAGCAUCCGUAGCCGGCUUGAUAAGUCUCUGGUGAAAUCGUGCAGCUAACUGUACGGCUUGCUGGAGAUACUGUCAGGCUUGGGACCGGGAGAGGAUGGGAGUACUCUGGGGGUAGGGGUAAAAUCCUUUAAUCCCCAGGGGACUACCUGUGGCGAAGGCGCCCAUCUGGAACGGGUCCGACGGUGAGGGAUGAAAGCGUGGGGAGCGACCGGGAUUAGAUACCCCGUUAGUCCACGCUGUAAACGAUGCCCACUUGGUGUCACGUGUCCUUCGAGGACAUGUGGUGCCGAAGCGAAGGCGUUAAGUGGGCCGCCUGGGGAGUACGUCCGCAAGGAUGAAACGUAAGGGAAUUGGCGGGGGAGCACUACCAGGGGUGGAGGCUGCGGUUUAAUUGGAUUCAACGCCGGG
rnacentral:rRNA from 1 species